GACGAACGCUGGCGGCGUGCCUAACACAUGCAAGUCGAGCGAGUGGAUUUCCUUCGGGAAAGAAGCUAGCGGCGGACGGGUGAGUAACACGUGGGCAACCUGCCUCAUAGAGGGGAAUAGCCUCCCGAAAGGGAGAUUAAUACCGCAUAAGAUUGUAGCUUCGCAUGAAGUAGCAAUUAAAGGAGCAAUCCGCUAUGAGAUGGGCCCGCGGCGCAUUAGCUAGUUGGUGAGGUAACGGCUCACCAAGGCGACGAUGCGUAGCCGACCUGAGAGGGUGAUCGGCCACAUUGGGACUGAGACACGGCCCAGACUCCUACGGGAGGCAG
rnacentral:rRNA from 1 species